CAGCCGCCGCGGGAAAACCGAGGGUGCAAGCGUUAAUCGGAAUUACUGGGCGUAAAGCGCGCGUAGGUGGUUUGUUAAGUUGGAUGUGAAAUCCCCGGGCUCAACCUGGGAACUGCAUCCAAAACUGGCAAGCUAGAGUAUGGUAGAGGGUGGUGGAAUUUCCUAUGUAGCGGUGAAAUGCGUAGAUAUAGGAAGGAACACCAGUGGCGAAGGCGACCACCUGGACUGAUACUGACACUGAGGUGCGAAAGCGUGGGGAGCAAACAGGAUUAGAUACCCGCGUAGUCCCUGUCUCUUAUAC
rnacentral:rRNA from 1 species